rnacentral:rRNA from 1 species
UAGUCCACGCCCUAAACGAUGUUUACUCGAUCUUUGCGAUACACUGUAAGGGUCCAAGCGAAAGCGUUAAGUAAACCACCUGGGGAGUACGUUCGCAAGAAUGAAACUCAAAGGAAUUGACGGGGGUCCGCACAAGCGGUGGAGUAUGUGGUUUAAUUCGAUGAUACGCGAAGAACCUUACCUAGGCUCUAAUGCUAUUUGACAGUUCCAGAAAUGGAAUCUUCCUUCGGGACAGAUAGUAAGGUGCUGCAUGGUUGUCGUCAGCUCGUGCCGUGAGGUGUUGGGUUAAGUCCCGCAACGAGCGCAACCCCUAUCUUUAGUUGCCAGCGAGUAAUGUCGGGGACUCUAAAGACACUGCCUGCGCAAGCAGAGAGGAAGGCGGGGAUGACGUCAAAUCAUCAUGGCCUUUAUGCCUAGGGCUACACACGUACUACAAUGGUAAUGACAAAGGGUUGCUACUUGGUGACAAGAUGCCAAUCCCAAAAACAUUAUCUCAGUUCGGA